CCUGGUGCCGAGAGAGGCCGUCCCGGCGGCGUUCGCGGCGCUGCGACCGCUCGGCCCACGGAUCGCGUCCGUGCUCCAGAUC
rnacentral:tRNA from 1 species